AUGAUCGAGGCCCAGCGCGAGGAGCGAAGGGCGGAGGGAGCGCAGAUCGCGGCCGAUGCCCCGCGGACUCUUGGCGAACAGGUCCUCACCAUUCAGGCCCGGCUUCAGCCUGCUCACCACCUGCUGCGCCACCUCCAGCGCGUCGGAGCCCAGGCGGUUUCCGCCCUCUGGCCAGGCUUGCCUGCUCCGCACACCCCAAGUCGGACUGCCGACUGGCUGGAGGUGGCGGCCGGCCGCCUGGAAGCCUGGAAAGGCUCAGCAGCCCGGGCAGGGGCACGCCGGGCCUUGGAAUUCGUCAAGGCGUGGUACCCUAGGCUAGAUCUAGCCCAGCUAGCCACGUUCCGGCUGGAGGCACAGGAGGAGCUUGCGGCGGUGGAAACUAAGCUUGUCAACAGGGCGGCAGCGAUCGCCGACUUCAUCGACACCAGUGUCUUUGUCCCGGAGGUGGUCGAGGAAGGCGGUGAAGCUCCGCACAAGUGGCUCGGGUUAAACCCGGAGGACAGCGAGGAUUCGGCUGAAGUCAUUGACUCCAGCAACGAAGGGGAAGACGGGGAGGAGGACGGAGAGGAGGAGGAGGAGGAAGGCGAGGAGAGCGGCGUAGACAUGCCAGAAGUCGGGGCGGACGGUCAGCCCUAG
rnacentral:rRNA from 1 species